UCGUGUGACUCAUUUAACUGACUAGCGCUUUCCUCGUUUUUUCCUUUCCACGUGUGCGUAAUCCUUUUACUGUUCUUGUCACACCGUUGAUAAAGUGCCGCGCCAUUAUAGUACGUGCGUAGUUUCUUCAAGCAGUUCAACGCAAUCUUCACGUAACUGAUUUAUGUAAUAAUUAUAUCGUUCGUAAUGUCUGUAAUAAUUUCUGACAGAUUAAACGUUCGCAAUAGACAAAAAAUAGGAAUACAUUUAAAAGGAAAAAUAGGACAUACAUACAAACGAGGCUGAAGUUUUGCAAAUAUAAUAAAAACCGAAGUGAAGUCGAUCUUGUUAACCAAACUUCGCUAGUGAAGCUAACAGACCAAUAAACCAAGCCAAUUAGAUCGAAACUACUUUGUGGUCGAGCGAAUAAAAAGUAUCUUUCGUUUUCUUUCUACUUUCUCAUGUUACAUGCAUUGGUUAACCAUAAAUUGGGCUACCGGACAGGUACAAACGAAAUUAACUGCAAUUUUAUCUGAAAAAUCUAUAACUAGGUUUUAUAAAAUAGCAUCUUCUUCGAACUGGUGCAUCGUACAAAACCGAUGGAAUAUGAACUAAUGCGAGGCCACGUAUAGGGGAAGAACGCGUCCGGACAGACGAAAAUUUAUGAUAUUGAUUAUCAUAGGAAUGCAAUUUAUUACACAAAUUGAAUUCGAUGUACAGCAGCGACAAGGGAAAUGUCGGGAUAGAACGGGAUUUAUACUGCACGCUGUUGUACAGGGUGUCAUCGAAUCGUAAACGAGAAAAACGCGAUCUCGCCCUGAGAUCGUCAGGUCGAAGGUUAACCAGCAAAGUUGCCAGCAGUGGAAGGGUCACAUAUUAAAUUUCGACAGCGAUCGCAUCAUAUAAAUUGCUCGUGACAGGCUGUCACGACUCACUAUACAGGAACCAACAUAUCUCAAUUCCUCCUGGAGUAACGCUAAUGGAUACUCUCUUCAUCGAUACUAGAACAUGCCAUCAUGUAAUUUGAAGUAGAUCAAAAUCAGAAGAAAUGUCACGACUUAUUGAUGACUACACAACUAAUCAUGCGUGCCUUAUUAAAAAUGGCCUUCGUUUAUCAAGGAUCAGUGACUAAUUAGCAAAGGUCAGCAUCAAGACGCUCCAUGAAAGAAGCUUCCUUGUUAAAAAAUAUCAACUGAUAAGCUCGACCUUUCGUAAAAAAUGCUAAUAAUGCAUAUAAAGCGUGCACAGGAUGUUUAAAAAUGCGUGAUUUUUGUGGUAAAAAAUUAGAAAUAUUAGUUACGAGCUACGAUGUUCUUCUGGUUCUUUGAGUCUCUAGUUUUUAAGACGCGUUGGUCAGCGACAGAAGACAAUUAAAUAGCCGAAGAAGUAUUUACGAGACAAUAAAUCGCCACAAACAAAAUCGUCAAAGCACUGAUCUCAAACGAAAUGAAAACCAUUAAAACCUCCUUAGAAAUAAAAAGUCACUCAUGUUAUAAUCAAAAUUCAGUGAACAUUUAAUAAGAGUUCUUCAAACUAUUUUCGAUUCACUGAAAAUUACAAAAGAAACCAUUCAUAUUUCAACAAAAACGCAACAAAAACUUCAUCAAGAUUUUGAAAUAUAUCAUCGAUAGUAUGAAA